CUCUCGGUAGCUUAGUUGGUAAAGCAUUAGACUGUAACUGAUUAAUACCGCUGUUCCAAAGAACAGUUCCUUAAUUGCGAUCUAAGGAUCGGGUGUUCGACUCACUCCCGGGAGA
rnacentral:tRNA from 24 species